rnacentral:lncRNA from 1 species
CUCCAAGGCUGGGGCGGUGGAGAAUCCAUAAGGUUGGGGUUCAACUUUUUCUAAAGGAUGCUCGUUUGUUUAUCUCUCCCUCCCACACCGCAUUAGCCCACCGCCGGUGACCCUUACAGUUGCUCUCCCACCGCCGCACCGGCCAACUCCACUUCAUCUUCAUGACUUUACCAUUUUCUUUCUAUCUCCCACCAUCGGCCACCACUUCUACGGUUCUACAGCCGUUUCCCAAAUCUAGCAUCUCCAGAUCUCCUAUGCCAUUUGCUGCCUGUCUGCAAUGCAUAUUGUAGCCGGCUCGCUCGGGUCCAGGGGCGGGCAACUCUCCACCAAUCUCCACUCACUGUCGUCUCCUUGAAGAAGGUGUAUCCAUAAUUCCAUUGGAUUUUAGAUUUAGUUGUUUUCUUCCAAUUUAAGUUUCUUUUCCUAGGCAUGUUGCUUUUCUGAUUUAGGGAUUUUUUAUUUGGACGGUUGGGUUUGGAAUGAAAACAACUCUGAUUUAGGGAAAAUUGAUUUUUUUAUUUUGAACUUUAUUUUAGCUUUGGGCAACAGAACAAGAAGGGAGGAGUAAUGAUGAUACCUUGAACAUGGAAGCCCAAUUCGAGGAAUUUCUUGGGGGCAAUAGUUUAGCCUGUAUCAUUAAUCGUCUCUAGUGCAAUAUAUCUGAUGCUAAAAAAUGAUGCAGGUAUGACCUUCAAAUAUAGCCUAGGAAUUGGCAGUCUAUUUUCGCUAAUUUGCGAGUCUUCAUCCCAUACACUUGCUUGUUUCCCAAUCUUGUGAAGAACCCUGAUGACCUCUUCAGUUGUGACAUUACCAGUUACAGUCACCUUGUUUAAUUUUGUAUCAAUAUCAUAUAUUUCAAUAUAUGCAUCCAGCAUCAACAGGCAUUUUCAACUUUUUGGGAUGUUAUAUAAAAAUAAGCAGUUUGUUUAAACCACUUUAUCUUAAAUUUCAAUAAGUGGGAGUGAAGAUUUGAACCAAUAUCUUUACUAGCUGAUACCAUAUUGUAUUUUACCAAAGUUAAUCCAAUGUUUAGCUUUUUAUUAUAUAUACAUUUUGCUAUGUCGUAAACAAACCUGACUGGUAGAAUAUGCACAGAUAUGGUCCCAAUCCUUGUUCCAAAAUUUUUACUAAUUUCACCUUCUUCCAUAUUUAAUUGAGAUUCAAAGCAGGGCAGCUAGAGAUGUAAAGUUAGACAUCUAUUCCAUUUGAUGAUCUUUAACUUUUUUCAUUCUUUACAUAACCAAAGUAUUCUAUUCUACUGGCAUUUUUUUAUACUUUUUUCACAUCAUUCACUCUGCGUGGAAAUGUUUGAGUACGUUGAUAUUAAGCUGCAUGGGAUUUUAGAACUUCACCUCUAUCUGAUUGUUGAAAAAAUUACUUUCAGGGAUUGACAUGGCUUCUCCCAGAACGAUUUUCUGAAUCAGAAAUUGGACCAGAAGCAGCUUUUGUAAUAUUUUGGUAACGCUAGCUUCUUCUUACUUAGAAUCAUGCAAUGAACUCACGUUCUUUGGCUUAACGAAAAAUGGAUUUUAUGACACAAUUUUUUUUUGUAUUGUUAUUUUUUUCACUUAUGAAAAAAUCCUAUAAUUUAAAUUAAGUAGAUUGUUUUCAUUAGGAACACAAUAUUUAUACAAAUGCAGAACUUUUAUGGUACAUGUAAUUCUGUGAAGAUUACAUAAUUUGGUGCUACAUCAUUGUUGGCUUCUGUUUCCAUAAUUUCAUGUGUUUCAGUGUGUAUGUUAAAGGAUUUCUAUAUCUCAAGUGUCUGUAUGUAAAUUAUGUUUAUUUCUACUCUCCCCCAACCCACCUACCCUUCUCCCUUAAAAUUCCUUUUUAUGCUAUAUAAGUUCUGCCAUAUUUUCUGGAAACCCAACAUUCUUCAUACAGUGCACUUAGUUCUACUCCAAUUAUUAAUUAUAUUGUGUGUCCAAAUCAAUCUUUUCUAUUAUUGUAUAUCUAAAUAUAUCUGCGGUGACAUCAAUUUUGGGUAUAAUCAUUGCUUCCAUCUAACAUUUGUUAAGAACCUUUUUCUCCUCCCCUACUCCGAACUUCUUCCAGGCACCGGAGUGACUCUUAGUCCUGAUAUCUUGUAUUUUCACCCUUUCUGUUGUUUUGGGGUGCGAUAAAAAAGCUUUUAAGAUUUGUUCAUUUUCUUAAGCUGUCUCUGCAUUUCUUUCAUUUGUUUCUUGCAAAAGUUGAUGUAUUCUAUCCUAUACAGUGUAAAUAUUUCUACAGUAACAUCAAUUUUGGUUAUAACCACUUUUGUAAAUCUUUCUGUAGUAACAUCAAUUUUGGGUAUCUUCAAGAUCUUCUUGAUGCAUUCAUCACAGUGUAAGCCUACCAACUCCACUACCUAAUGACACACAAAAUGGAGCAUCAAAUUUGAUUAGUUACUUUCUUAUAUCAACAACUUCCUUUUUUUGCCUCUUUGAUUUGAUUAGUUAAUUUUUGGCAUCAAAUUACUGAUACUGACAUAUAAUUCAAAUGAUACCAGCCAACUUUUGACAAAUAAAAACUCAGAUAUUUAAUUUUUCUCAUGAAUUCCUUAAAUAGCCGAGCUGAUCUUAUUAUGAUAGUGGCACUUUUUGUCGUAGACGGCUUGUGCAGCAUUGGAUGUCAAUUAAUGGUUAGGCAGACAUUUUUUAUGCAAAAUACAUAUUCACCCAAGAACUUGUGUAUGCUUAAGAGUAGUGUCAUGCAUGACAUAAUGUAGCAUUUGAAUUUGGUGAAUGCAAGUUAUAGUGGUGACUGCUGUUUAUCUCAUCUCAAUCCAAAAAUAUGCCAAGUUAUAUUAUGUCAUUUUAGCAGGUUCUUUUACAUGUUGCUAUCACGAAUCCUUCUGUGCUCACCUAAGUUUCGUACUUUCAGUUUGACUUCGAUUCAUUUAAUUUGAUGAUGCUUUGCAAUAGGACCAACUUCAAGGACAGGCAAAGCUCUCAUAAGCAACAAGUUCUGAUGAAACCGAACUCCUAUGCUUAUGCCAACUCGGGCUAGAAAAAAAAUAAAAAAACAAUGCGCACGCUAGCAGGAAGCCACAACCAAAUAUAUUAGUUAUUUCAUUUUUUGAAUUAGUGUAAUUCCAAGUGCUGUAAUUUAGGUUUAUCUUUUAGUUUUUAUAAUUAUAGGCUAACUUGUUUUCUUUGAUACAAGUAAUUUCGUUUUUCAAGUGUGUAAGAAGGAUUUGUGAUGACAAAUUUAUUACUCAUUUUUAUUGCAUAAAUAAAUUUAACAAUUAAUGUGAAAUGA